rnacentral:misc_RNA from 1 species
UGAUUGGACACAUAGAUAAACCCCCUGCUGUUCAGAGAAGUAAACCUUAUUAAAAUGUGUGUUUCGUUCCUUUUAUUGGAAUGAAAAUUAAUGAUACUAGAUUGUUUAAGUAUUUGAUAGUUUUUAAAAUAUGCUUCCAUGCAUCCAAAAACAGGGAUCAGAGCUGAUAGAAUAAAGUUAACUGCAUUACCAACUUGAAAAGGGGAAAAGGGUUGCACAAAUUGGAAGGAGAAAAAUAGAAAUAGUAAAAAACAAUCUACCAAACAGGCAAGGUUUUUUAAAAAUCCCUGUAGAAUCUGAAAUGACCAAACCAAAUCAACAUUUAAAACACCAA